rnacentral:lncRNA from 1 species
AUGUCGGUAGGCCUCUCCUGCCUCCCUCUGAUCCUCUUCGUCCUUCCUCUCCCGUCUCUCAUCCUCACCUUCCUCUCCCAUCUCUCAUCCUCACCUUCCUCUCCCAUUCUCUCAUCCUCACCUUCCUCUCCCGUCUCUCAUCCUCACCUUCCUCUCCCGUCUCUCAUCCUCACCUUCCUCUCCCAUUCUCUCAUCCUCACCUUCCUGUCCCAUUCUCUCAUCCUCACCUUCCUCUCCCAUUCUCUCAUCCUCACCUUCCUCUCCCGUCUCUCAUCCUCACCUUCCUCUCCAUUCUCUCAUCCUCACCUUCCUCUCCCACUUCUCGUCCUCACUGACCUCUCCUGCCCAUGCCUUCCUCACCCAUCUAUCACCCUCACCUCCCUCUCGCCCGCAAAUCCAUCGUCAUUUCCAGAUUCCCAUUCCCAUUUCCUUCUGUUUUCUAUUCCCAUUUCGCGAUGGAGUAAAAGUCGGAAACAAAACGUCCUCCCUCACGCAGGUUAUCCCACAAAUUAACCACAUUCUGUUUUGUUUGCAACUACCCAAUUUGGUGCGUGCACGUUUGUUGAACGAUGCAUGUCCUACUCUUUCUUGUCUUCCUUAAUUUCUACAAAAAAAAUGUUUAUUAAACAAAUUGAAUAACAUUUCCGAAGUGUUUUGCAAACUGCCGACCACAGCACCUCAUUGCGUUGUUAUAAUAUAUCGUAUCGUGUCGUAUGGUGUUUGACGCGAGUUCUUUUGUCGAACAAAGAUGCGGCGUCCAAAUGUGCCGAGACGGCUCACUCGGAGACCGUUUCCUCCCCGGCACGAGAAAGAACCCCGGUUUGAGUACCGCCGCGUCCCAGGGAGUUGGCUGGCACGCUGUUCAUGGAAGGUCCCCUUUCCUGCUUUAACUAUUGUUCCUUUCCGGAAUAAUUAAAUAAACAACGAUGCCCUUUCUUUGCAGAAAGCUCAUAUAUGUAUUGUUAUAUGAUGUAUGACUUACAAACAUGUACAAAUUACAUUUGAUUGUUAUAUUGCCCCCCCCCCCCCCCCCCCCCCCCCCCCCCCCCCCCCCCCCCCCCCCCCCACCCUUCCUCUCCCAACCCAAGUCCUUUGGAUUUUGUAUAACGUAUUCGAAAAUAACUAAAAGUUUGAACAAUGCUGUGAAGUUUUCUCGUUUGUGCUUUGAAAAGAGGUUUUUGUACCUGCAAACAUCGGUGGAAGACCCACUUGUCCCGAUCUUCAUUCCCAUUGAGACUUGAGAUCGGCGGUGACGUUGGGACUGCGGUCUGUGACAGGGCCAGGGUUAACCGGGUAAGGUAUGGGGCAUCCCUCCAUCCACCCAUUGGGACCAUACUCUGUGCAUAACGUUGGUGCUGCCUAAGCUGUCUCCUUGGCUAUUGGGUACAAUCCUGGACGGGUCGCCACUCCGACGCAGGAAACCAGCAAGCUGACACUCAUUUUGGCGACCUCGGAAGGAUGACAGGCUGAGUCAACCCCACCUGGUAUUAAUUCAACAGCCGAUUGGGAUUUUAACUCAGGAUCCGAGGAUCCCAAGUCCACCACCCAAACCAUUAAGCCAACACAAGGCAUUAUGGGCAUCGAUGAGUUGAAAUUUAACUCAGAACGUGCUUUAGUUCACCCAGGAACCAUAACCAUGGGACGACUCGCUGAAGUUCUUGCGAGGGCGGUUUCCGUUUACCUUGACGAAGGGUAGUGUCGUUCAAGGUAGUGAUUUGCGAUGGGGUGUCAAGCAUAGUCACAAUCCCAGAAUGAUUUGUGGGUUGGCAGGAUAGCCAAAAGGUAAGCAUACUCGCAUCUGAGUUGUCUAGCCAGGGUUUGAAUCUCGACCCCACUAUAAACCUCCAUCCUGAUGUCUCGCAGGCAGGGUAAUGCAUCGAUGUGUGCGUCAUCCAUCGGAUGGACGUUAACCUGUACAUCUGCCUGCAUUAGUUGGUGGACAUUAAACAUUCUACGGUAUCAAUUGUGAACAGUCGGUGAGUCAUCGCCGGUUACAAAUUCCUCCUCAAAUCACUUUCAGUCGAACGUCAGGCCUGGCCAGCCAGUUUGUAAAGGCUCGUGUCAAUAACCUUCACCGACCAACCACACGACAA